rnacentral:ncRNA from 1 species
GAUAACUGGCUUGUGGUGGCCAAGCAUUCAUAGCAAGGUAGCUUUUUGAUCCUUCGAUAUUGGCUCUUCCUAUCAUUGUGAAGCAGAAUUUACCAAGAGUUGGAUUGUUCACCCACUAAUAGGGAACUUGAGUUGGGAUUAGACCUUCAUGAGACAGGUU